UACGAAGGGGGCUAGCGUUGCUCGGAAUCACUGGGCGUAAAGCGCACGUAGGCGGAUUGUUAAGUCAGGGGUGAAAUCCUGGAGCUCAACUCCAGAACUGCCUUUGAUACUGGCGAUCUUGAGUCCGGGAGAGGUGAGUGGAACUGCGAGUGUAGAGGUGAAAUUCGUAGAUAUCAGGAGGAACACCGGUGGCGAAGGCGCUCAUCUGGCCCAAUACUGACGCUGAGGCGCGAAAGCUAGGGGAGCAAACGGG
rnacentral:rRNA from 1 species